rnacentral:rRNA from 1 species
ACAGUCACACAUUAGAUACCCCCGGUAGUCCCAGCCGUAAACUAUGCUCGCUAGGUGUCAGGCAUGGCGCGACCGUGUCUGGUGCCGCAGGGAAGCCGUGAAGCGAGCCACCUGGGAAGUACGGCCGCAAGGCUGAAACUUAAAGGAAUUGGCGGGGGAGCACAACAACGGGUGGAGCCUGCGGUUUAAUUGGACUCAACGCCGGACAACUCACCGGGGACGACAGCAAUAUGUAGGCCAGGCUGAAGACCUUGCCUGAAUCGCUG